rnacentral:rRNA from 1 species
UACAGAGGGUGCGAGCGUUAAUCGGAAUUAUUGGGCGUAAAGAGCUCGUAGGCGGUGUGUCGCGUCGGCCGUGAAAACCUGCAGCUUAACUGUGGGCUUGCGGUCGAUACGGGCAUCACUGGAGUUCGGCAGGGGAGACUGGAAUUCCUGGUGUAGCGGUGAAAUGCGCAGAUAUCAGGAGGAACACCGGUGGCGAAGGCGGAUCUCUGGGCCAUUACUGACGCUGAGGAGCGAAAGCGUGGGGAGCGAACAGG